AUUGAACGCUGGCGGCAUGCUUUACACAUGCAAGUCGAACGGCAGCACGGGGUUUACCCUGGUGGCGAGUGACGAACGGGUGAGGAAUACAUCGGAACGUGUCUAUAAGUGGGGGAUAACGCAUCGAAAGGUGUGCUAAUACCGCAUAAUCUCUCAGGAGAAAAGCAGGGGAUCGCAAGACCUUGCGCUUUAGGAGCGGCCGAUGCCUGAUUAGCUUGUUGGUAAGGUAAAAGCUUACCAAGGCUUCGAUCAGUAGCUGGUCUGAGAGGACGACCAGCCACACUGGGACUGAGACACGGCCCAGACUCCUACGGGAGGCAGCAGUGGGGAAUUUUGGACAAUGGGGGGAACCCUGAUCCAGCCAUGCCGCGUGAGUGAAGAAGGCCUUCGGGUUGUAAAGCUCUUUCAGCCGGAACGAAACGGUUACGAUUAAUACUC
rnacentral:rRNA from 1 species